rnacentral:rRNA from 1 species
AUAUCAAUAAGCGGAGGAAAAGAAACUAACAAGGAUUCCCCUAGUAACGGCGAGUGAAGCGGGAAGAGCUCAAAUUUGAAAGCUGGCGCCUUCGGCGUCCGCGUUGUAAUCUCGAGAAGUGUUUUCCGUGCUGGACCAUGUACAAGUUCCUUGGAAUAGGACGUCAUAGAGGGUGAAAAUCCCGUCCUUGACAUGGACGCCCAGUGCUUUGUGAUACGCUCUCCACGAGUCGAGUUGUUUGGGAAUGCAGCUCAAAAUGGGUGGUAAAUUCCAUCUAAAGCUAAAUAUUGGGGAGAGACCGAUAGCGAACAAGUACCGUGAGGGAAAGAUGAAAAGCACUUUGGAAAGAGAGUUAAACAGUACGUGAAAUUGUCGAAAGGGAAGCGCUUGAAGUUAGACAUGCCUGCUGGAAUUCAGCCUUGCUUUUUGCUUGGUGUAUUUUCCGGUGAGCAGGCCAGCAUCAGUUUUGUCUGUCGGAUAAGGGUAGGAGGAACGUAGCCCCCCUCGGGGGGUGUUAUAGCCUCUUACUGGAUACGGCGGAUGGGACUGAGGACCGCAGUGUGCCUUUAUGGCGGGCCUUCGGGCACCUUCACACUUAGGAUGCUGGCGUAAUGGCUUUAAGCGACCCGUCUUGAAACACGGACCGAGGAGUCUAACAUG